GACGAACGCUGGCGGCGUGCUUAACGCAUGCAAGUCGAACGGAAAGGCCCUGCUUUUGUGGGGUGCUCGAGUGGCGAACGGGUGAGUAACACGUGAGUAACCUGCCCUUGACUUUGGGAUAACUUCAGGAAACUGGGGCUAAUACCGGAUAGGAGCUCCUGCUGCAUGGUGGGGGUUGGAAAGUUUCGGCGGUUGGGGAUGGACUCGCGGCUUAUCAGCUUGUUGGUGGGGUAGUGGCUUACCAAGGCUUUGACGGGUAGCCGGCCUGAGAGGGUGACCGGCCACAUUGGGACUGAGAUACGGCCCAGACUCCUACGGGAGGCAGCAGUGGGGAAUAUUGCACAAUGGGCGGAAGCCUGAUGCAGCAACGCCGCGUGCGGGAUGACGGCCUUCGGGUUGUAAACCGCUUUCGCCUGUGACGAAGCGUGAGUGACGGUAAUGGGUAAAGAAGCACCGGCUAACAACGUG
rnacentral:rRNA from 1 species